AAAAAUCAUUAUAUUUCAUACUCACUUAAUUAUGGAGUUGAUUACAAUACUCUUGCUUUUUACCCUUGUGUGCACCCCCGAAGUUACGAAUGGCCAAUAUCACUAUAUGAUGUACGUGUUACAGUGGCCUCCAACUUAUUGUACCAUAAACCGUUACAGGAAAAAGCAUAGAAUUCUGUCAAGGUGAUUUACCUUCAAUUGAAAACCGAAAAGUAGAUAAUAUGUUGAUUAAUGACCAAACCUUGAAAGCAAAUCUCGGAGUUAUUUGGCCAAAUUUGAAAUAUGGCAAUACGAACCGAAAUUUCUGGAAAUACCAGUGGAGGAAACAUGGACUAUGUUCAAUUCAGUCUCUCUCACUUGUGGAUUAUUUCAAGGGAGCGGUAACAGUGCAUGCCAAUAUGAUUGUAAUAAAUAACAAGAAGAAUCUGCUCGUUUACUUGACUGAUGCAAACAUUAUACCAUCAAACAAUACUGUUCGCACAAAAACGGACAUAAACAGUGCUCUUCAUAAACUGGUUGGUAACAACAACGAUAUCUACAUCUCAUGCAAGAAGAAUGGCAAUCAUAUUCUUCUGCAUGAGAUAUACUUAUGUAUGGACACUACAUUGAAGCAGUUCGUUUCAUGCCCACCAAGUAGCGAUCAAAGAGGCUGUAUCCAGGGGUCCAACAUUAUAAUUCCUAAGUUCUAGUCUUAUUAAAGGCACCGUGAAUUAGGGAGUAUAAUUCUCUUGUAACAUGCUUGAUUUCAAUUUAAUGAAUUUUAGAACCCAUCUUUAACUUUA